rfam:Clostridiales bacterium 1_7_47_FAA supercont2.1 genomic scaffold, whole genome shotgun sequence.
UGAGUAGGACAGAUGGCCGCUGCUGCGAUACCGCAAGGCCGCAGGAGAGGAAAGUCCGGGCUUCACAGGGCAGGGUGCCAGAUAACGUCUGGCGGAGGCGACUCCAGGGACAGUGCAACAGAAAUGUACCGCCUUUCCCGGCCUGACCGGGAAAGGUAAGGGUGGAAGGGCAGUGUAAGAGACUACCGCCCGCCUGGUAACAGGCGGGGCACAUGUAAACCCCAUCCGAAGCAAGACCGAACAGGAAGCAUAUGGCGGCCCGUCAGCUUCCGGGUAGGUUGCUUGAGGCUGCCGGCGACGGCAGUCCUAGAUAGAUGGCCAUCCAACGACAUAACCCGGCUUACCGUCCUGCUCACAUA